AUUGAACGCUGGCGGCAGGCCUAACACAUGCAAGUCGAGCGGAGCGGCGGACGGGCGAGUAAUGCCUAGGAAUCUGCCUGGCAGUUGGGGAUAACGUCCGGCUACGGGCGCUAAUACAGCAUACUAUCAGAUGAGCCUAGGUCGGAUUAGCUAGCUGGUGGGGUAAGGGCCUACCAAGGCGACGAUCCGUACCUGGACUGUGAGGAUGAUCAGUCACACUGGAACUGAGACACGUGCCAGACUCCUACGGGAGGCAGCAGUGGGGAAUAUUGGACAAUGGGCGAAAGCCUGAUCCAGCCAUGCCGCGUGUAUGAAGAAGGUCUUCGGAUUGUAAAGCACUUUAAGUUGGGAGGCGUUACCAACAGAAUAAGCACCGGCUAACUUCGUGCCAGCAGCCGCGGUAAUAC
rnacentral:rRNA from 1 species